GAUGAAGAACGUAGCGAAAUGCGAUACUUGGUGUGAAUUGCAGAAUCCCGUGAACCAUCGAGUCUUUGAACGCAAGUUGCGCCCGAAGCCACUAGGCCGAGGGCACGCCUGCCUGGGCGUCACACGUCGUUGCCCCCCCCCCCAUCUACUCCUUCGGGAUUGCGGGGGGCGGAUGAUGGCCUCCCGUGCGCCUAGCCGCGCGGUUGGCAUAAAUACCAAGUCCUCGGCGACGCACGCCACGACAAUCGGUGGUUGCGAAACCUCGGUUGCCCGUCGUGUGCGUUCGUCGCGCAUCGAGGGCUCGAAAAAAUGCUCGGCUCCGGCUCGGCUUUCAACGCGACCCCAGGUCAGGCGGGGUUACCCGCUGAAUUUAAGCAUAUCAAUAAGGAGGA
rnacentral:misc_RNA from 1 species